AAUUGUACAAGGAAGAAAGAAGAAUUAGAGGCAAAAUAUCUCAAUUCUUACUACUGUCCAACUAACCGAGUGUACAAUUAAAUCCUUACUUUCAAUUCACACUACCCUAAAUCCAACAAGCAGCAGCAAAAGGGCAAGCGUUUUGAUGCUUCAAACAGCUUAAGUAGCUAACAACUAUGGUUAGAUUGGUACCUGAGCGGUGAUUUCGUCUAUACUAUUUCGAAAAAGACAGACGGCAACUCUGGUAUAAUUUGUAUUUAUGAGGCACUACGUCAUGCAUCAUCCAUUUACGAUUUUAAUUUUUCGAGUGGGGUAGAGAGGACAGUUCGGAAAAUGUAACAUUGGAAAAGGAUCCAACACAUACCACCAAACAAGCAUCAUUCAAGUAAAGAAGAUUGGAGUGUAAGUCUUACUCUUCGAUUAUGACCUUGGGCGAGGGGAGCAGGCAGUAAGCUGAGACCUGUGUGAGCUUUGCAUUCUAUGUAAGUAUCGCAUAGAGAAGCGCCGCUCAUCAAAAUAGUUUUUUAUGUUUUAUGUUUAUAUGUCAUUAACUGGUUGGUCCAGCAUUUCUAUACUACUAAACUAUACUGCUCUAUUACUACUCUAGUAACUCAAUGAGUCGUCCCUUGUUUAUGGCUGAAGAUGCAAGCAAUCGGGAUAGCAAAGAUGACCAAAGGAAGUGUUCCAAAAAACGCGCAAUCUUUCCAAGCAAUGUUUAAUGAGUGUUUUCCCAAUCUGAGUUUGUUCACUUUCAUAAUAUUUUAAAUUUUCAAGCCCCAAUUUUACCAAGUUCAAUUCCAGUUACGGAGACUUAUUUACUCAGAUAUGAAAGUAAAGUGCACAAGGGAUAAGGCAACUAACUUGAUCGCAAAGCGUGGGCAGCUAUCACAAAGCUAGAAAGAAACAUAUAAAAAAUCCAUAGACGAUUGGGUACCAAGAUGAAGCAAAGCAUGUUUUCGCAACUGACCAGUUUUACCUGACAGUCGGAAAAUUUUUCAGCUGUAUAAAAAAAAGAAGACAUGGGGACUUGCAAACAAUCUAGAAAAAAGGGAUUUUUGCGUAUCUAGAACAAAUGUUAAACAUGAAAUGGGGUCUUGAAACUGAAUACAGCGAACUAGACAUGCUUUUCGCCCCUCCCCCGCUUGGUCCAUGAAAACAUUACUAAGUAUACCCUGCUACCAUAACUCCUCUCCUAUUUCUCAUUGCUCGAUAAAUAGCACAAAGCAGCUUGACACUACAAACUACAUUUCAACGCAAAAAAAAUAAGGAGGACUUUGUUAAACUGCUCAUCGUUCCUAAUUUCAUUCGGUUCCUUAAAUUUAAUGGGUAAGAAUGGUAAGAUAUCCUGAUGCCGUUACUUGCUGGUUACUUAGUCUUGGAGGUUCGGGAAGGACUGCAUUUGCCCCGCUAAAAUAAAAUAAUCUUCAGGUGAGAUAGAAUUAGCUAGGUUUCGUAAUGUUUAUGUGGUACUGAAGUCAAUCCGUUGUUGUUCGUUCAUUUAUUCAUUACAUACUAAUAAAAGCAUGUACUAGUUAUAAAAAAAAGUCUUCCAAGAUAUUCACAUGUAGUGGGAGGGUUUUUAUAUUGUUUUGUUUUUUGAUGGUUUUUUUUUUUUUAUAAAGAUGAAAUUCUUAUUUGCGUAAGUUUAAUUUUUGCUUGAUUAUAGGUAUCCUUGACAAUUAUUGAAUAUGUAUCUUAUAUCUCUUAUAUAUGUGUAUCUUAUAUAUCUUGCAUAUCUUGAUAUAUCCCGAUAUAUUGUGGAAACUAGUUUGCCGGAUCUGUUUCAUGUUGGUUUUAGGGCAAUAAUUUGAAUUAUGAGCAAGAUGCGCUUCCCAGUUUAAAAUAAAACUAUGUUAAUUUAAUUCAAAAAAUUAUUAUAAGAAAAUAAUUGAAUAAAUCAAUCAUUAGCUAAGUCAAUAUUAGAAGACAACGGAAAAAAUAUAGAGUAAUCUUGUUUUUUCCUAAUUUUUUUCUUUUGCCAGUUGGUUGAGAAUAUGUCCAAUAUCUAUAUUUACAGUGUGCAAAAAAGUGGAUCAUGAACAACCGACUUUCUGAUUUUCUAAUCUAUUGUGAAAACGAUGAAAGAAACUGUUUUUCCAGCUACUGUUCUUUCGCUGUGGCUUUUAUUUCUUUUCAAGAGUUUUAGCUUUCUUAUUUUUUGUUGUAAGCGUAUAACCCAAUGCUUACUCUCGUCCAUAACCGCGUAACCGUAUAACCUUCGACUUGAUGACUACUACUUCUUAUAACGAAGCUGUUGGCUUAUCCAAAGGCCGUACGAAAAUAAAUAAAAAAUCAUCUUAUAAUUCCAAAAAUUAGAAAAUCUUCAAAAAUUUAUGCUUUUACCUCAUA
rnacentral:misc_RNA from 1 species